rnacentral:rRNA from 1 species
UACGUAGGGUCCGAGCGUUGUCCGGAAUUAUUGGGCGUAAAGGGCUCGUAGGCGGUCCGUCACGUCGGGAGUGAAAACUCAGGGCUCAACCCUGAGCGUGCUUCCGAUACGGGCGGACUAGAGGUAUGCAGGGGAGAACGGAAUUCCUGGUGUAGCGGUGGAAUGCGCAGAUAUCAGGAGGAACACCGGUGGCGAAGGCGGUUCUCUAGUACGGUACUGACGCUGAGACGCGAAAGCGUGGGGAGCGAACAGG